rnacentral:rRNA from 1 species
AGUGAACGCUGGCGGUAGGCCUAACACAUGCAAGUCGAACGGCAGCACAGUAAGAGCUUGCUCUUACGGGUGGCGAGUGGCGGACGGGUGAGGAAUACAUCGGAAUCUACUUUUUCGUGGGGGAUAACGUAGGGAAACUUACGCUAAUACCUCAUACGACCUACGGGUGAAAGCAGUGGUUCUUCGGACCUUGCGCGUUUGAAUGAGCCGAUGUCGGAUUAGCUAGUUGGCGGGGUAAAGGCCCACCAAGGCGACGAUCCGUAGCUGAUCUGAGAGGAUGAUCGGCCACACUGGAACUGAGACACGGUCCAGACUCCUACGGGAGGCAGCAGUGGGGAAUAUUGGACAAUGGGCGCAAGCCUGAUCCAGCCAUACCGCGUGAGUGAAGAAGGCCUUCGGAUUGUAAAGCCCUUUUAUUGGGAAAGAAAAGCAGCGGAUUAAUACCCCGCUGUUCUGACGGUACCUAAAGAAUAAGCACCGGCUAACUUCGUG